rnacentral:rRNA from 1 species
AACCAGGAGCUUGCUCUUGGGGAUUAGUGGCGAACGGGUGAGUAACACGUGAGUAACCUGCCCUUGACUCUGGGAUAACCUCCGGAAACGGAAGCUAAUACCGGAUACGAACUGCGAAGGCAUCUUCAGCAGUUGGAAAGAACUUCGGUCAAGGAUGGACUCGCGGCCUAUCAGGUAGUUGGUGAGGUAACGGCCCACCAAGCCUACGACGGGUAGCCGGCCUGAGAGGGUGACCGGCCACACUGGGACUGAGACACGGCCCAGACUCCUACGGGAGGCAGCAGUGGGGAAUAUUGCACAAUGGGCGCAAGCCUGAUGCAGCAACGCCGCGUGAGGGAUGACGGCCUUCGGGUUGUAAACCUCUUUUAGUAGGGAAGAAGCGAAAGUGACGGUACCUGCAGAAAAAGCACCGGCUAACUACGUGCCAGCAGCCGCGGUAAUACGUAGGGUGCGAGCGUUGUCCGGAAUUAUUGGGCGUAAAGAGCUCGUAGGCGGUCUGUCGCGUCUGCUGUGAAAACCCGAGGCUCAACCUCGGGCCUGCAGUGGGUACGGGCAGACUAGAGUGCGGUAGGGGAGAAUGGAAUUCCUGGUGUAGCGGUGGAAUGCGCAGAUAUCAGGAGGAACACCGAUGGCGAAGGCAGUUCUCUGGGCCGUAACUGACGCUGAGGAGCGAAAGCGUGGGGAGCGAACAGGAUUAGAUACCCUGGUAGUCCACGCCGUAAACGUUGGGCGCUAGAUGUGGGGACCAU